AAACUCUUCUGGACUCUGCCAGUCCAAACCUUGCCCACCAGAUGAAUUGAUACCUGUAUAGAGUCUGUAAACAUCCAAGCACCUUUGUGAGGAAAGCUCAUGAUCUUGUGACAAAAAACUUCACCAACAGACACAGGAGCGAUCUGUUACAAUGACCCAAAUGAACAAAAGUGGUUGUAAUUGAGCUGAUGAAGAGAAAUCAUUCCCAGAGAGAGAGAGAGAGAGACAGACAGAC